AACGAGACCUUAACCUGCUAAAUAGUCAGGCUGGCUUUUGCUGGUCGCAGACUUCUUAGAGGGACUGUCAGUGUCUAACUGACGGAAGUUUGAGGCAAUAACAGGUCUGUGAUGCCCUUAGAUGUUCUGGGCCGCACGCGCGCUACACUGACAGAGCCAGCGAGUAUCUCCUUGGCCGGAAGGUCUGGGUAAUCUUGUGAAACUCU
rnacentral:rRNA from 1 species